rnacentral:lncRNA from 1 species
ACAGUAAAUUAUCAAUGCCGUGUGCCGCGCAUUCAAGCACGGCAGUAAACUGUGGGUCGUCAAUUCACUGGCACCACUUUGGCUGUUGUGAUGAAUUUCUGGGCAUCGUUCCGUUCUUUGGCUCGGCGAGCGGACCUCCUGCGCGGCUGGACUUCGUGUGGGCAUCGAAGCUCUUUAACGCCAUGCUUCGAAGCUCAUCCUCUUGUGUGUGACCUCUUUGCAAAAUCACGACGGUACAAUUGUUGACCCUCGCA